ACUGGUUGGAAGAGGCAGAGUGUAGAGAUC
rnacentral:piRNA from 1 species